rnacentral:misc_RNA from 1 species
GAUGAAGAACGUAGCGAAAUGCGAUAAGUAAUGCGAAUUGCAGAAUUUCCGUGAGUCAUCGAAUCUUUGAACGCACAUUGCGCCCAUUGGUAUUCCGAUGGGCAUGCCUGUUCGAGCGUCAUUUAAACCUUCAAGCUCAGCUUGGUGUUGGGUGACUGUCCGCUUCACCGCGGACUCGCCUCAAAAUUAUUGGCGGCCGGUACAUUGGCUUCGAGCGCAGCAGAAACGCGAACUCGGGCCCGUCGUAUUGGCUCCCAGAAGCUAUCUUCACAAUUUUGACCUCGGAUCAGGUAGGGAUACCCGCUGAACUUAAGCAUAUCAAUAAGCGGAGGA